AUUGAACGCUGGCGGCAUGCUUAAUACAUGCAAGUCGAGCGAGCGGCGCAGGGGUGUGUAAUGUCUGGGAAACUGCUUGAUGGAGGGGGAUACCUAGGGAAAACGGUAGCUAAUACCGAUAACCAUCAGCUGUGCCCUGAUGGGAUUGGCUAGUAGGUGGGGUAAAGGCUCACCGAGGCGACGAUCCCUAGCUGGUCUGAGAGGAUGACCAGCCACACUGGAACUGAGACACGGUCCAGACUCCUACGGGAGGCAGCAGUGGGGAAUAUUGCACAAUGGGCGAAAGCCUGAUGCAGCCAUGCCGCGUGUGUGAAGAAGGCCUUCGGGUUGUAAAGCACUUUCAGCGGGGAGGCGUUACCCGCAGAAGAAGCACCGGCUAACUCCGUGCCAGCAGCCGCGGUAAUAC
rnacentral:rRNA from 1 species